rnacentral:rRNA from 1 species
UAAUACAGAGGGGGCAAGCGUUGUUCGGAAUUACUGGGCGUAAAGGGCGCGUAGGCGGCCUUCUAAGUCAUGCGUGAAAUCCCCGGGCUCAACCCGGGAACUGCGUCUGAUACUGGAAGGCUUGAAUCCGGGAGAGGGAUGUGGAAUUCCAGGUGUAGCGGUGGAAUGCGUAGAUAUCUGGAGGAACACCGGUGGCGAAGGCGGCAUCCUGGACCGGCAUUGACGCUGAGGCGCGAAAGCUAGGGGAGCAAACGGGA